CUGCUCUGGGUCCCCAGGACGGUGGCGGCGGCCCCGCCCCUCCCGGCCCGCCUCCACCCCCUCCCUCCCGGCUCCCUCCUUCUCCCUCUCCCCGGCGGUAAUGAGGAGGGAGGAGACGGCGAAGGUUUUAAAAAGGAUUUCUCCUUCGAGCCGGACAGGCAGAGACUAGGGUGGGGACCCGUCGGUAGGCCUGCCCCUCGUUUGCCCCCUACCCGUCCGCCGCCUACUUUCUCCUCCCGCUCCCGGAGCUCGGAGUCUCCGCCUGGACCCCCACAACCUGGAGCGGCUUCUCUGUGCUGUAACUGUGUCUGUGUGUUUGUCUGUGUGUUUGUGUGCCGAGGCACCAGGGGCCAAGUAAGGGCUCGGGGAGUGCUGGCUCAGGUAUGAGCUUGAGGGGGGUUUGUGGGGAGGUGGCAGUGCAUGGUCCGCCAUGGCUUAAAGCCUGACUGGGUGUCCUGGGUUUCCUGGGGUGGGAGUGGUAAAAAUUCUCUGGCCAUAUUCAGCCAGGCCCAAGUCUUGGGUGUGGUCUACCAAAGACCACCCAUCUACACCUCCCCAGUCAUUUUGACCAGUCCUUUCAGCUUCUAGGGGACCAGGAUUGAGAGCAAUCUCCACCCCCCCAGGAGGUCUGGGGUUGAACCCAGAUGGAUUGUUAUAUAGUUGCCCUUACACCCCCACAUGCCUGUGACAGCUUACAGGAGGGAACACUUCAUUUCAGUGUGUUGUGUAGUGAUAAGAGUGCUGGGUUUGGACUUAGGAGACCUGGAUUCGAAUCCCUGUUCUGACACCAGCUGUCUGACCUUGAAAAAGAAUCAUUUAACUCCACUGAGCUUAUUUCUCCUUCUGCAAAGUGAGGAUAAGAAUACUUGUGCCACUGUGUCCAAGUGAAAUACAGACAUCUAGGGGUUUUGUCUCCUCUAAAGCCCCCAAUCCGGGGGACUCUUUAGCCUGGAGAGAGGCUAAGGUGCUUGCUCCCUUCAGGGUGGCCUGCUCUCUUUCCAGGGGCCAUGGAUGUUCAGGGCUUAGACUGACACAAGGUCAUGAAGGAAGACCCUGCCUGGUGUGUCCAGAAAGAUGACUCCAGUCUGGAGCCCCAAUACCAGCUUAGCCCUUGAGAAGCUGGGGGAAGGGAGAGGCUGAGGCCAAGAUUUCUGUCCUUAUGUGGUCCAGUUAUCUUCACACAGGGAAAACUCUGAUCCAUGACCCCAAAGGGAUCUAAUCUUGGUCCCAGACUGACUGCUCACCCUGGCACAUGACAAAUCCAUGCUUAUCUAAAAUAGGAGCCUGGGAUGGGAGUCUGGAUGGCUCCAUUCACUGUGGGGGCACAGCCUUAAGCUAGUCUCCUGCUGGUGUGGGUGCUGGAGGACACUGAGGGCCAAGGGAUAUGGCUAUGUCUAUACAGAUCUGUAACUCUCAGCUCUGGGUCCUGAGGCAGGGGUGGGGGCCCUCAGAUUGACUUAACUCCCCUCCCACCCCUAGUUCCCAAGUCCUUAGACUUGCCCCCCCUUUGCCUGUUCUCCCAGAAGGAAAAGCAACUUUUCCUGUCUGGGCUCUGAGGCAGGGGGAGGGUGCUGGGGCACCUCUCCUUGAUUUAAAGACACAGCUUUCUCCAUCUCACACUGAGGAUUCACAUACUUAGAGUAUAUGGGCUUGGGAUCCAGGCUUGGACCUUUCUGCUUCCCCCCUCCGAUGGCCCCUGGAGGUUUGAUUUGCUCCCCAGCUGCUGGGCUUUCACCACUCUCCCAAGCCCCAGUUAAGAAGCUCCUGAUGUACAGGGUCAGCCCUCAGGAAACUAUGCCAGGAUCCUGACACAUACAUGACAGGGCAAGUCCUCAGGGGGUGGGGUGUACGUGGACCCAAUUUCCUUUGGUACACAUUUCUCUGAACACGGACACUAAGAUCAACCUUAAGGGGCAACUCUGGACACCUUGGGGCCCACCCCAUGCCUGUCACAACUGGAGACCAGAUGUUCUGAGAGGGAUACAGCUGCAAUGCCCUCCUCCCCCACCCCCACCCCCCAAGCCUGUGGGCUAAUUGGCUUCUGUGGUACAGGGAGUGGAGGAGGGGAGGCAGUCUACCCUUCCAUCCACCCUAGGGGUAAGAGACUUUUGUAGAUCUCAAAGCACAUGUUAAACAAAACCACACCCCAGAGUCUUUUCUAAAUGUCUUCUAUAAAUCUGUUGGGAUAGUGAACCCUUUCCCUUUAUCCCACUCUUGUUGGGGCAUGCACAAAAGGAUGUUGGAUGGGAGAGGGGGAAGCAUCCCUCUGAGUCAAAUCCCAUACCCUUACUCUUCACUGGUGACUUUGCUCUAGGCCAUCUCUUUACACCGUGCAGGUGAGGCCAUCUUGCCCCACUGGGAACUACUUACCUCUAACCCCAUUCUUUUUCUGCUCUAGGGUUUCCCUUUACCCAGAUUGACUUUAUCCUGAUGUCCAGGCUUGGCUUUGUCCUGAAUUCACUGUGUAGUCUUGGGUACACCCUUGAACUUUUCUGGUCUUGAGGUUCUCUACCUGUAAAGUAUAAAGCCCACAACAAGCUGAUAGAUGGGAAAGCCCAGGGUUCCCUCCUUUGGAGAUGGUGCUUGUGGAAGCUGGGCAUCCAUCCUAAGUAGUAGUCAUUGAGGGGAAGGCUUGGUGUCCUUGGGUCAAAGUAGAGGCUGAGGCCUCAUGGAUUCUUGGAUCUAGGGUUAGGGGCUAUCACUCUAAUAACAUGCCACCUUGAGUGUAGUCAUUUCAGGCACUAUCCUGGACAAAGAUGGUGUCAGAUUCCUUAGGAUUCCAGACUUGGCACCGAGACUUGAAGGGUUCUCCCAGCAUGUGAAUGAAUAUUGGUGGCAUUUGGGAAAACCUGCCUUUCCACAUAGAAUUGGCCUUGUAUUUCUGGGAGUUGCAGAGGCGGUUUCCUCGUGGGAGUAGGGGUCAUGAGAUGAGGUCUUAAAGAAUGAAUUAAGGUUCUGAGGACUUUUUAUAGACCUGGUUUUAAACAGUGGCUCAGGCCUGAGGAACUGCCCCACCCCAGUUUUGGAUUUAAAAAGUUGCAAUUCAUGACUUAUGCAAAAGGGUAAUGAGGUAUAGUUCUGGUUACUACUUUGGCUCAGGGAAAUCCCCCUAAAGCUCCUGGCCUGGAAGGACAGGGAAUGGAAUCCUUCUAUGACACUGAAGCAAAUAAUAUGCUGGACGCCAAAAUCUCUAGCUGGAGUGACAAGGAAGAGGGUGGGUUAGAGGGAGAAGUCCCUCCCACUGGGAAAUCAAAUUUAGGGCUGUCCUGGGAUUAUUUUAGCACAUAGUGAUUUGUUCACUUCUCCAUUGGGAACUGGUUCUUUUGCCCCUCCAAGAGACAUCAUGGCGGUGGAGUAGAGAGUAGAGAGGAUGAACUGGGGACUGUAGUUUUGCCUGGUUUUUCGAUUUAUACAGUAAUUCAGACCCCAUGGUGACUCCUCCUUCUUCCCCACUAAAGAUUCUAUAGUAACUGUAGCUGCCUGGGUGCAAACCAGCAGAGAGGCCCUCAGGUAAGAUGGUAGUUGCCCUCUGCCUUUGACCUAGGCAGGUUUCUCGUUUGGGAGAUCUAUUCCGGCACUUUCUACUCUAGCAUGAGCGCCUUCUCAGUGUGGCUGUCCAGGCCCCAGCUAGGGGGAGGGGGACAUUGCUUCAACAGCUGUCCAGUGGGAGGGAGGUUGAGGAGAAUGAUUUCCAGUCAGAGGCCCCAUUCUAAAGAGAAUCGUAUUGGUUGGGGAAAUAGCCCCAGGAGGGUUUUCCUCACUGGAUCUGAUGUGUGGGCCCCAGCUCCUGCUUUGUGGUGUCUCUGUUGAGGAUCUAAGCCCAUUAGUCUGAACCAUUAGUGACAGGCCUGGCCCUGUGGCCCAAGCCCAGGCAGCCAGACUGAGGCAGGGUGGAGCCAGAAUGGUUUGGUAUUUUCCAAUCCAGCCCAGGGAGUGGGUGGAAAGUAUGUGGGGACUGGGUUUGGAGGCAGUGUUGGAAGUUGCCCCUGAUUCAUCCUUGGGAGCCUGAGUAGGGGGAACUUUAAAUGUGCCUGUGUACAUAUCUGCCUUGUGGUCACUCUUGGGUCUGCCUCUUCUCUUCAGACUUUCCUGGGAGUUGCAUUUCAGUUGUUCCCCAUUCUCGAUUGGGCUUGUCACCUCUGAGCCAUUCCCAUAAUCCUGUCUGGGGCUCCCACCUGCUUAUUCAUUGGGCCUGGGGCCUAAAUGGAGUCCCUGGUUCCUUGACAAGUGUCCUCUUGUUAUUUCACUGGACCAAGGUCAUUGAGGUCUCGUGAAACAAGGUUGUAGGGGUAGGGAGCUUUGGAGGAGAAGGCUGUCUUGUCUGCUGGGACAGGGUGGGCCUUGGCCAGGUUCAUGGCUGUGUGCAGGGGAAACCCCACAGGAAACGGGCUGGGCCAGAUGGCCGCCCUUCCCGUUCUGUUCUGUUCCCCAGGACACCAAUGUGCUGCCUCACUUCCGGAGGCAGCUUGGGGCAGGGCGGGUGCUAGGAGACAGGAGGCAGGAAGCUGGGGGGUCUCUGUUCCUAGAUCAUUCCUGGCUGGACUGUACUUUGCCCAGCUCCUUUAGUGCCCAUCUUAGGAAAAAAGAAGUGUUCUGGGUUGUUGGUGCCUUACGGUGAAGGGUGGAGGCUACUGGAUAUCUUUUCCCCAAAUCCUAAUUUGGGAGUGACAUCUUUUCCCUCCCCGUUGAAUCUGUUGCUCCUUGCUCUCUGGGGCUGCUCCUUAAGGGGUGCCCUCCUGGCUUUACACAUGGCUAACUAAGCCCAUAGUCAAGGAGAGGAUCCAUUGGAGAUGCUAGGAAUCUCUCCAAAAGGACCAGGUUUCACCAGGGAGGGAUAAGGCCCAGCAGUGGGGCCAUGACAGAGGCUGGGGGCGGGGGGAGGCCUCAGUGGUUUCCUCCUCCUCUUUGGGCUUCUAGGAAACAGAGCCAGCUGGUGUGAGAUCACUUCCUUACCCUGCCUGCCUGCCGCCCUAUUUCUCUUCCUCUCUCCCUAGCCCUGUUUGGCCUGCUUGGCUGGAGAGAAAGGAUAUUCCUUCCUUCUGUUGGGGAUCUCUACCUACUGGGGUUGGGAGUUGGAGUCCCAGGGGACAAUGGAAGGGAAAGAUGGUAUCUAGGAUUUGGGGACCAGAAGUCCUCCCUGGCUGCCAAGGCAUGCCCCUUCUCCUGCCCAAUCUUCACCAGAGGUCCGUGAUUUCUCUUCUUCCCACCAGCUGCUUCUGUACAUCUGAAGUGAAGCUUUAUCCAGAUGUAUACUUCUGGAAGAAUUCCUUGGCCCUGCUUUGGAUCUUGGAUUACUAGAGCUAGAGGGACUUCCCACCCUUCACCCACCCAAGCUUCUUCCUGGGGAAAGGACUCUAUCCAUACAUAUUUAGGCUGGCAGAGAGCAUUCCCUCUGGGUUCAAGAAGGAAAAGAUCAUAGGAUCAUAUUUUUGUAGUUGGAAGGGACCUUUGAAAACCUCUAGUCUAAUCCUUGAAUUUAUAGAUGAGGAAGCUGGAGUCUAAAGAGGCUGGGGAGGUGGGAGGCUGACAUUGCCUGUAGUAUGGGGAUGGGAGUGAGUGGUUGAUUCUUUUUCAUUGUCUUUGUUUUCUCCUCUCUAGGUAUGAGCUUCCUCAACAGUCCUGGACCCAGUACCCCUGAGCCUUGGCCGGCUGGGGUUCCUGGGGAUGGGAUUUGAUUACUGCCACAAAUCACAUUGCCAGGGAUUUCCAACUGACCACUGGCCCUGCUGCUGGAGCUGCCAGGUCCACUCCUACUGUGUUUGGGUGCAUAUUUGUGGGGCCAUAGAGCCCAAAGAGUGGGCCCUCUUGCCCAGCCUGGCUUGAGGAGCAGGACUUAGCUGCCUUGUGAACAGAGUCAGCAUCAUAUUGUGUUCACAGUGGCUAAGUUCCGCUCCCCUUGCCCCCCUACCCUUGGCCACCUUGCUCUUCAUCCCGUCUGUCUGCUUCUAGGUCUCACUGGGCUCUGCCUCCUGUGCCUACUGAGCUGAAACACAGUUGCUUUGGAUAAACUGGCUCAGUUCAGCAGGAACAGGAGUCUGGCCCUCUCCAGGAGACACCUGCCCUAUGACCCUGAGAGCAUGGGAGGCUGGAAGGGCCCCCAGGUACCGUGGUGGGAAUGGAGGUGCUGCCUCAGCUACUGCAGCCAUGCUGACUUUUUAGCUUUGUGUCUCUAGUGUCCAAUGGUAUUUGAGGACUGCCUUGGCACCUUCGUGGCUUUGCAAGGAGAGCAGAGGGACCAGGACAAGAAGACUUGGCUGGAACUAAGCGGAUGCAGAGACGUACUACUGAGCCUAAUGUACAUUCUGUGCAUAAUUUCAGCAAGCUCAAGUUAUAUCUUCCUAAUUCCUCCUCCAACUCCUCCCCUUUAAAUGAGAGACAUACAUCCUGAGGGUUUCCCCUAAGCCACAAGGAACAGCAAAGGGCCGCCUCUUGCCUUAGUUUCUUCCUUUUUUCCAUUCCAGACCCUUAGAUCUAGUACCCAUGUCCCUUUCCUUGCUGAGGUUUGGCAACUUACUAAAGAGGAAAUGGCUUCAGACCCCUGCCCUAGAACCAUUAAAUGGGCUUUCAAAGUGAGGCUAUCCUAAACCAAAUGAUCCUUUAGUUUCAUGGACCGUGUGAGUCCCCCCAGAGCGGAAGCCUUGUGUGAGGUUGGAGUGCAGGAGCCCAUGACUUUCUCCCCCUCCUGUUCCCUCUCCUCUAAAGAAUCCCCAUUAGUUUUGCCCUCUAGGGACAGAGGGGAAAGAAGAAAAACUCCUCUGUGUAGGCCGUGCCUCUGGGUAAAAGGAGCAGCUGUUACAAAAGCUUCUCUCUUCAAGUCAUCUCCAAACUCACGGGAGUUAGGCUGGAUUCCCGCAGGCCAACACGGGUACUUAUCCCUACUGCCUUCCACUGAGGAAGUAGUUCUCCGACUGUCCCCUGCCUCAACCCUUGACACACACAUCCUGCGCCUUCCUCCAUCUAUUCUAAGUGUGUAUUUGGGACAAAGACAGGAACUCGGGCCAUUCCACUACAGCGAGUGACUACCGCUACACAAACCGAGUUUAGACCGUUCUUCCUGGACUAGGGGGUCUGUGCCUCCUGAGUGAGCCAUUCAUCCCCUGCCAGCAUCAAAGCAGGGCUGAAAAUCUAGGUGGGAAAGUGAGGAAUAAAGUGUACAGUGGGGUUACUUGAGGGCUUGAAGCCAACACAGAACUGGGCAGGAAAGGUGAAUGAUGAUGUAUCUGCCCAUUCCAAUUAAAGGCGAUUCAAGCUCAGGCCUGACAUCUCA